CAAUACUCAAACCCAUGCCUUUGUGUAUGGGUUUGGACUUGAAGGGUUUGCUGGCUUUUCGGAGCUGGCUCCUUUUAAAUGCAUUAGCUGGCUUUACGGGCCUGUUUUUCAGUGUUGUAAUUUUUAAUACGCGCUGUGAUCAACUAGUUCGACUUGCCGCUGAUAGACAACAUUUUUCUAUGU
rnacentral:misc_RNA from 1 species